ACUACCGCCUGGGCCAAGCUACAGGCUGGUGAGGCGGAGCCGAGGCGAGUGGGUGCGGUCUGUAACCAGGAGGGCGUUCUGAGAGUGGACCAGUAAGGCUUAAGAGGGCGGAGCCAAUAAAAGGGCCUAGGAAGCAGAGACGGGACUCGACAACUAAGGGUUUCGCACAGUGCGGUCGCGGGGAGCGCUCCUAAAGGAAGGUCACCAGAACAUGGCUUCAGAAUUGAGAGAACCAGCCUUUUAUGGUAUUAUGAGGCCCGGUCCUCCAGAGAAGUGCUCUUCCCAGAGCUCCAGCAAGACGUUUGUUUUCUAGAAGCCCUCUGGCGUCAUUAUUACUUCAAGAUGGCCUAUGAAAAGGUUAACAUAAGCCAAAAGACUUGGGCCCCAGACGAAGUGUACACUGCUAUGUAUCUUGUCUCACCCUAUCCAAAUCUUUCGAACCCCUGGGGGAGAUGACGCCUUAGCAAAAGAGGGCUAACUCUUCUCCCUACCCAAAGAAGAUAACACUUACAACAUACCUGAUUGAGCCACAGCACUGGUGGCAACUUGAGGCUUCAGAUCUGCUUCCAAGAGAGCAGGAGAAACAGUUACCACUGGUCCUGAGAAUAAAGGACCCUU